rnacentral:sRNA from 1 species
UCGCCGGUUUUCCGCUGCCCGUCGCACAGC